rnacentral:rRNA from 1 species
GGAUAAACGCUGAAAGCAUCUAAGCGUGAAGCCGGCUCCAAGAUAAGAUAUCCCAUAGCGAAAGCUAGUAAGGCCCCUUGAAGACUACAAGGUUGAUAGGCUGCGUGUGUAAGUGUGGCAACACAUUGAGCUUGGCAGUACUAAUAGGCCGAGGGCUUGACCAUA